GGUUUUCCGGGGAUUAUUGGGCGUAAGAGCUCGUAGGCGGUUUGUCGCGUCUGUCGUGAAAGUCCGGGGCUUAACCCCGGAUCUGCGGUGGGUACGGGCAGACUAGAGUGCAGUAGGGGAGACUGGAAUUCCUGGUGUAGCGGUGGAAUGCGCAGAUAUCAGGAGGAACACCGAUGGCGAAGGCAGGUCUCUGGGCUGUAACUGACGCUGAGGAGCGAAAGCAUGGGGAGCGAACAGGAUUAGAUACCCUGGUAGUCCAUGCCGUAAACGUUGGGCACUAGGUGUGGGGACCAUUCCACGGUUUCCGCGCCGCAGCUAACGCAUUAAGUGCCCCGCCUGGGGAGUACGGCCGCAAGGCUAAAACUCAAAGGAAUUGACGGGGGCCCGCACAAGCGGCGGAGCAUGCGGAUUAAUUCGAUGCAACGCGAAGAACCUUACCAAGGCUUGACAUGUUCUCGAUCGCCGUAGAGAUACGGUUUCCCCUUUGGGGCGGGUUCACAGGUGGUGCAUGGUUGUCGUCAGCUCGUGUCGUGAGAUGUUGGGUUAAGUCCCGCAACGAGCGCAACCCUCGUUCCAUGUUGCCAGCACGUAAUGGUGGGGACUCAUGGGAGACUGCCGGGGUCAACUCGGAGGAAGGUGAGGACGACGUCAAAUCAUCAUGCCCCUUAUGUCUUGGGCUUCACGCAUGCUACAAUGGCCGGUACAAUGGGUUGCGAUACUGUGAGGUGGAGCUAAUCCCAAAAAGCCGGUCUCAGUUCGGAUUGGGGUCUGCAACUCGACCCCAUGAAGUCGGAGUCGCUAGUAAUCGCAGAUCAGCAACGCUGCGGUGAAUACGUUCCCGGGCCUUGUACACACCGCCCGUCAAGUCACGAAAGUCGGUAACACCCGAAGCCGGUGGCCUAACCCUUGUGGGGGGGAGCCGUCGAAGGUGGGACCAGCGAUUGGGACUAUCACACAAGGGGGGGGCAGACACACACAUUUUUUUUGUGGGGGGGGGAUUUUUUGUGGGGGGAGAGGU
rnacentral:rRNA from 1 species